UUGCUGGCGACCGGCGCACGGGUGAGUAACACGUAUCCAACCUGCCGAUAACUCGGGGAUAGCCUUUCGAAAGAAAGAUUAAUACCCGAUGGCAUAAUUAGACCGCAUGGUCUUAUUAUUAAAGAAUUUCGGUUAUCGAUGGGGAUGCGUUCCAUUAGGCAGUUGGUGAGGUAACGGCUCACCAAACCUUCGAUGGAUAGGGGUUCUGAGAGGAAGGUCCCCCACAUUGGAACUGGGACACGGUCCAA
rnacentral:rRNA from 1 species